UCCUUGGUGGCUCAGAGGUUUAAGCGUCUGCCUGCAAUGCAGGAGACCUUGCAAUGGGAUCGACCCAGGGUUCGAUCCCUGGUUCGGGAA
rnacentral:tRNA from 1 species